rnacentral:rRNA from 1 species
GAUGAACGCUGGCGGCGUGCCUAAUACAUGCAAGUCGAGCGAACGGACGAGAAGCUUGCUUCUCUGAUGUUAGCGGCGGACGGGUGAGUAACACGUGGAUAACCUACCUAUAAGACUGGGAUAACUUCGGGAAACCGGAGCUAAUACCGGAUAAUAUUUUGAACCGCAUGGUUCAAAAGUGAAAGGCGGUCUUGCUGUCACUUAUAGAUGGAUCCGCGCUGCAUUAGCUAGUUGGUAAGGUAACGGCUUACCAAGGCAACGAUGCAUAGCCGACCUGAGAGGGUGAUCGGCCACACUGGAACUGAGACACGGUCCAGACUCCUACGGGAGGCAGCAGUAGGGAAUCUUCCGCAAUGGGCGAAAGCCUGACGGAGCAACGCCGCGUGAGUGAUGAAGGUCUUCGGAUCGUAAAACUCUGUUAUUAGGGAAGAACAUAUGUGUAAGUAACUGUGCACAUCUUGACGGUACCUAAUCAGGAAGCCACGGCUAACUACGUG